AGCACUUUGGCUAACGCGUCACCCAGCUUGGACAAACCACUCACGGAGCAUCGGGGACUCAGCCUCAUCGGAGGAAGAGAGCCAGUUUCCUUGUGCUGCUUUGCCCGCUUCAGAGAGAGAUCUUAGGGAGCGUCAUUCCGGGGCUCCUGUCGGUCAGACUUGUCGCAACUGGAUUGAUCUCCAUGCCCACUUGUGUCUACCACCUAGGCGGUCAUCUGAAAGCGUGGAAACCCAUUGUUCACUGCAGCAGGAACCCUGAUUUGCUGUACAGCCUACACCAUCGUCCGGACUCUGUUCCAGGCUCCUCUACACCUGUGCUGGUGGGACGUAACAUUUAAUGCUGAUAAUUAAUGCUCGUUCUAUUGCCAAGUCUUAUAUUUUAAAUGAUCUUUUUCUGGGCCUACUCAUGUUGCUGGGCCUUCUUUGGACUUGGUCUUCACUUAUUGUGUUUCCCUUCAUCCUUUAGACAAAAUUAAGUUGUUUUCAUUGACCAUAAGUCGGUCUCUUUGAAUGUAUGUUGCAACUCAGUCUUUUCCCCAAGUUUCUAUUAGGCACAGGCGCUUUAUUGAUGACUUUAUCAUUUCUAAGUUUUCUUCUCUUUUUAAUUUUACAACUUUUUCUGAUGAUGUUGAGCUCCUUUAAUGAACUCUGCUUUGCCAUUCUCAAUCAGGUCGCUCCUUACAAAACUAGUCAGGAGUGACUGACAUCCAGUUUCCACACACCUUGGUUAAAUAACCAAAGUUGCAGUCUUCUGUGUUUCUGUCGAAAAGCAGAACGUCUUUGGAAGUCCACCGGUCUGAUUGUCCAUCGUGAAAGCAAUCUCAAAAACUCAGAAUGAAAGUUUCUUCACUUACAUAAUGAGUCAGUUAAAGAGGCUAGAUUCUCUUAUUUCAAUAAACUUAUAAAUCACCAAAAGAAUAAUUCAAGAGUAUUUUUUGAGACUAUCAACAGUAUCGUUUCUCCCCAACUCAGCGUGUUACUUUCUGACUGUAAUAUGUUUCUCAAUGACUGUGUAAAUAAGGUGGUGGACUUGAGAUCCAAAGUCUCCUCAAGUGCUUCCCCUUAUGAAGGUGGUCCUCAGUACCUUGGGUCAUUUACUUCUUUUUCUCCAAUCACACCCAGUGAUUUAACUACAGUAAUUGGUUAAAUGAAAUCCUCGUCAUCGUCCUGCUCCUUAGACAUAUUACCUCCCUCUGUCCUGUCUGAGAUUCUCACCAGCAUCGGUCCCACAUUGGUAUCAUCACAUUCACUGAAGCGAGGUUGUGCUCCAUCCUAUUUUAAACAUCCAGCAGUAACUCCUCUAUUGAAGAAACAGACUCUAGAUUCCAGCUCUACUGGUAAUUAUUGCCUCUGCCUUAGACUGGUUUUCUUCCUACUUAUAGGUCCUCUCUUAGAACAGACAGGUUUUCCUCCAACAUACGCCCCUAUAACCUGGAACGGGGUUCCACAGGGUUCAGUUUUGGGUCCACUAUUAUUUUCUUUCUACAUGCUUCCUUUACCUGGCAUUAUUCAAUCUUUCAGUGACAUUUCUUAUCAUCUCUAUGCCAAUGACAUCCAGCUGUAUGUCCUUUAAGCCUCAUCAGCUGGAUAGGUUGUCCACCCUAGCCCAGUGCUUAACUCGGGCCACUGAUUGUCUCUCUAGCACUUACCUUGUUUUAAACACCAAAAAGACUGAGACAUUGAUCAUAGCUCCUCCUGAACUACAGUCUAAAAUCAGUCAGGUUCUUGCUUCUUUCUGUCCAUCUGCUCAGUCAAACAUUUGAAAUCUUGGAGUAAUAUCUGAUUCUUCUCUGGGUCUUGACUCACAUGUAAAAUCUUUGUCUUGUUCCGGUUUCUUUUAUUUAAGAAACAUUUUCCAAACUACGACAUAUGGUCUCCUUAGCUGAGCUGGAAAAAAUGUUCAUACAUUUGUGUCAUCACGUUUAGGUUAUUGUAAUGCCCUGUUUACCAGCUUGGACAAAUAAUCUCUUUCUCCCCAAGCUAUACAAAAUGCUGUGGCCAGACUGUUAACAAGUUCUAGCAAUCGAGUUCACAUUACUCCUAUUUUAUAUUCUUUAUACUGGCUCCCAAUAGAUUUUGGAAUUCGUUUUAAAGUUCUUGUGUUAAAAUACAGAGCACUAAAAGGCCAGGCCGCUGAUUAUUUAUCAAAGCUUCUAACAAAAUAUUCUGUUCAUAGACUCAGAGUUUGUCGGUUGUUCCCUGUACAUGACUAAAUACUAAAAUCCCCAGAGCCUUUCAGUCUGUGGGACAGUCUACCACCACGACUACGUUUGGUUGGCUCUGUGGAUUCUUUUAAAAAAGUGGUUAAAAACUUUUCUAUUCAAACAGGUUCUGUGUUCCGAAUUACAAUUUUAAAAAAAAAAAGAAUUAUUUGUUUCAUUUUAAAACUGUUAAUUUUUGUGUUUUAUUUAAUCAUUCGUAUUGUCUAUUUUGGCACCUAAUGUUCUUGAUUACUUUAGCCUUUUGUGUAGAGCUCUUUGUGACUGUCUGUGAAAAGUGCUUUAUAAACAACCUACAGCCUACAGUUGUCACCAUUACAGUCUCUGCAGGUCUACAUUCCAGUUGUUGAUCCUUCAUCUUUGGUCUUGACCAUAAUGGAGAGGUUGGAAUGGAAGAAAUUGAUUCUGUCCACAGGUGUGGAAACUAAGGAGACCAACUGCAAUGAACUUGAAAGUGAAAUUUGUACUUUUUAUUUUAUAAUUACUAAUUUUAUUUCUUGGCCAUUAUAAAUGCCCAUACUGAUAGUACAUAGCUAUAUAAAAAUAGCUAAUAUUGGUCGAUAACAUCAACCAGAAGAUAAUCCAGGUUCUAAUCUUGUUGGGAUACUGUGACUUCAAAAAAGGCUUCCAAAGUGUUAAUAUGUCUUAAACACUACACUAUCUGUCCUGCUGAGGAAAGGACAGGCUUUAAUCCACAACUCAUAACUUGCAAAACUCAAUACAAAUCAGCAGAAUGGAUAAAAAGUUGCAACAACUGUGAAAAGCAUCAAAGUGGACUGGAGGGUCAGCGGGGAGUGGACCUCCUUUUCCACUUAAAGCAAUCUCAAAAACUCAGAAUGAAACAAAGUAACCACUUAUGUUGCUGACCAUUUUGACAAUUAUUCUAAUUAGUUUUAAUUUUUUUUCAAGUUUUGAUGUCCUUUGUUUUAACUUUAAAUAAAUAAAUGUUUUUUUUUAAAGAUGGCCUUGCACUCCAAGAGAACAUUUCAAUAACAGUGAUCUCCAUUUCAACACUUGAUAUAUUGUAAGACACUCAUGGUUUACAAAUAAAUGUAUACUGUUCAUAUUUACAUUCAAUUUUUUAAAAGUUUGCUGUUUUUAAACUUGAUAUCAACAGCUCAUCAGGAAUGAGAUGAAAUACUUUCACUGUCACCAAAAACAAAACAAAAAACAGUAAAUUACAAUUAACAUGUUAGUCAGUUCAACAAGUUAAAAGUGUCAAAAUUCAGAUUAAUACUAAGCAUAUGAUUUUGUUGUACUUAAGAGCACUUUUCAUUUAUUUACCAACAUCAGUUAAAAAGUGUACACAGACAAGCAUGAAUAAAAAUACGACUUUAUGUCAGGAUCAAAAGACUAUAUCGAAACAGAGCAAAUAACAGACUGUUAUGUUAAUGAGCUCUUCAAUAUUGGUCCCUUUUACACUGCAGAGUUAAGAGUUUAAGUCUCACUCGCCAGAUCCAUAUUUUAGACAGGACUGCUGCUAGGCUUCUUACUACUGUGUUAAGGACCGUCUCACUAUUGUGUGGAAAUGUCUCUACUGUAACUGUGGGAGAAAUGAUGUAAAGUACAAGCAGGAUGCUCAAGUUAAUAAAUGAACAUAAUGUAAACAUAAUGCAAUAAAAUCUGAUGGUAAAACUAUUUUUUUUAAUAAAAAAAAAAAAAAAA